rnacentral:rRNA from 1 species
AACGAACGCUGGCGGCAGGCUUAACACAUGCAAGUCGAACGCCCCGCAAGGGGAGUGGCAGACGGGUGAGUAACGCGUGGGAAUCUACCCAGAUCUUCGGAACAACACAGGGAAACUUGUGCUAAUACCAGAUACGCCCUACGGGGGAAAGAUUUAUCGGUUCUGGAUGAGCCCGCGUUGGAUUAGCUAGUUGGUGAGGUAAUGGCUCACCAAGGCGACGAUCCAUAGCUGGUCUGAGAGGAUGAUCAGCCACACUGGGACUGAGACACGGCCCAGACUCCUACGGGAGGCAGCAGUGGGGAAUAUUGGACAAUGGGCGAAAGCCUGAUCCAGCCAUGCCGCGUGAGUGAUGAAGGCCUUAGGGUUGUAAAGCUCUUUUAGUGGGGAAGAUAAUGACGGUACCCACAGAAAAAGCCCCGGCUAACUUCGUGCCAGCAGCCGUGGUAACAC